rnacentral:rRNA from 1 species
CCUACGGGAGGCAGCAGUAGGGAAUCUUCCACAAUGGGCGAAAGCCUGAUGGAGCAACGCCGCGUGGGUGAAGAAGGUCUUCUGAUCGUAAAACCCUGUUGUUAGAGAAGAAAGUGCGUGAGAGUAACUGUUCACGUUUCGACGGUAUCUAACCAGAAAGCCACGGCUAACUACGUGCCAGCAGCCGCGGUAAUACGUAGGUGGCAAGCGUUAUCCGGAUUUAUUGGGCGUAAAGGGAACGCAGGCGGUCUUUUAAGUCUGAUGUGAAAGCCUUCGGCUUAACCGGAGUAGUGCAUUGGAAACUGGGAGACUUGAGUGCAGAAGAGGAGAGUGGAACUCCAUGUGUAGCGGUGAAAUGCGUAGAUAUAUGGAAGAACACCAGUGGCGAAAGCGGCUCUCUGGGCUGUAACUGACGCUGAGGUUCGAAAGCGUGGGUAGCAAACAGGAUUAGAUACCCGAGUAGUC